AUGAACGCUGGCGGCGUGCUUAACACAUGCAAGUCGAACGAUGAAGCCCAGCUUGCUGGGUGGAUUAGUGGCGAACGGGUGAGUAACACGUGAGCAACCUGCCCCUGACUCUGGGAUAAGCGCUGGAAACGGCGUCUAAUACUGGAUACGAACAAGAAUCGCAUGGUUACUUGUUGGAAAGAUUUUUCGGUUGGGGAUGGGCUCGCGGCCUAUCAGCUUGUUGGUGAGGUAAUGGCUCACCAAGGCGUCGACGGGUAGCCGGCCUGGGAGGGUGACCGGCCACACUGGGACUGAGACACGGCCCAGACUCCUACGGGAGGCAGCAGUGGGGAAUAUUGCACAAUGGGCGCAAGCCUGAUGCAGCAACGCCGCGUGAGGGAUGACGGCCUUCGGGUUGUAAACCUCUUUUAGCAGGGAAGAAGCGAGAGUGACGGUACCUGCAGAAAAAGCACCGGCUAACUACGU
rnacentral:rRNA from 1 species